AUGUAAUUUGUGCUUUCAUAAACAGUUCUCUUUGCUUAAUAAUUUCAGGUUUGUUACUAUUGGAGGAUUUAGUAAGGAAUUAUUUAUUCUUCAAGGGGAGGUCUUAUUACUACCAUUAUGGUAAAUUUAGUUUAAACACUUUAAACAGUUAAAACCAGCAAUAAAAUAGAUUGUUAACUUCAAAAGUUUUUAAAUAUGUAUCAGUCUAUUACCUACAUGUGUUAGGAGUAAUUAAGAGAGAUAAUAUGGAGUUUAGUUCGCCUAAUAGUUAACUUAAAAAUGAAUAACAAAAUUAUGUGAGAAUUACAUAAAGAGAAGUUAAAAUUAAAAUCUAGAGAUUGAUGAUAAUUAACACACUGCUUUUGAGAUCUUUUUUAACCUUCAGGCCUUAGUUUCAGAUCUCACAUUUAUCCUUUGCUUUGGUAAAUGUGAAAAAUAUUCUUUGUUCUCUUUUACUAAAUUAUAACAUGUACAUCACUCAACUUACAAAGCAGAAAGGGCAUUGAGGAGAAAUGCUGGUAAUUCUAAACUGGCUUUUCUAAGUCAUUUUUAGAAUGUCUGUUCUUGAUCUGUGUUUGGUUGAGAGCCUAAUGACGUGUUCACACUACACAUUUCAUUCUUUAUGAAGCAGUGAUCUUAUUUAUUACAUUUUUGUUACUGAAAAGGCAAUACAUAACGUGGUACUGCUUCCAGUUCUAACGAGCUUUUACCAAUUACUUGUAUUUCCUUCAAUGUAAAAGUGUCUGUCCCCCCCCACCUUUUUUUUAUAUAAACAGUAGCAUGAUAUACACACUUUUGCCACCUGUUUUUUUCCUGUACGUAUAUAUCAGUGAUCUUUAUAUGUCAAUACAUAUCUCUCAUUCUUUUUGAUCUUCUAUUGUUUGGCUUUAUCAUAAUUUAUUUAGUCAGUUACAAACAGUGCUAUAGUGAUUGUGCACAUAUAUGAAUAUAUAUAUAGGUUAAAUUCUUGAGUCCCAGGGUAUAUACCUUUAAACUUUGGAUAGAAAUUAUAUACUGCCCUUUAGUGUUACCUUCCAGGCAACAAUGUCCAUGCAGACCUGAUUUCUCACACCUGUAUUACCAAAUGUUUUCAUCUUUGCUAAUGGAUGAAAAGGUAGUAUUUCACUCCAGUUUUAAUUUGCAUUUCAUUUACUAGGAAUGCUCUUGAGCAUCUUUUCAUAUGUUAAGAAAAAUCAUUAUUGAAAAACCUGUAUUUUUUUGAAUGAAUUAUCUGUUUAUGUUUAUUAGCCAGGCUUUGAGUUUUUAUCUUGGUGACUUAUGAAAGCGCCUCAUGUAUAUAAGAAAUUUAACAAUUUUUUUCCCAAUUUGUUGUCUCAUUUUUGGUUUUGUCUAUGAAAUUUUUGCCAUGCAGAAACUCUUUAUUUUUAUACGGUUAAAUAUAUUAAUCUCUUUUUUUUUUUAUGGACUUUGGGUUUUGUUUACUUGCUUAGAAAGGUCUUUCCUAUUCUGAAAUUAGGUAUUUUAAAUUCCCACAUGUUUUCUUUCAGUACCUUAGUUUCCCACAUCCUCAGAUUCUGGUCUCAGAACCCCUUUACACUGAAAAAUUGAGAACCCUUUCCUUUGCUUAUGUAGGUUAUAUCUAUUGAUACUAUAUUAGCAAUUGAGAUAAUAAAUUUAAAAAAUAAUAAUUCAUUUAAAAGUAGCAAUCAUAAGUCCAUUACAUAUAAAUAAAAAGUGACAUUUUUAUCAAAUAACUAUAUUUUCUAAAGUAAAAAAAGUUAAGAGAAUGAAGUUGUUUUUACAUCUUUUCAAAUCCUAUCAAUGUCUAUCUUAACAGACAAAAACUGAAUUUUUUUUUAAGCUGAAUUCUUAAAAGUACUUCUGUAUUCAGCCUGCUUUGAUAUGUUGUUUUAAAGGAAGUAUAUGAAGAAAAUCCAGCUCACAGUGUGUAAUUGGAAAAAGGAGGCAUGUUGAUGACUUUUUCAGAUAAUUGUGAUAUUCUUUCAUGCUACACUUAACUUGACCAGUGGUAAAGUUUCUUAUAGGUUAGUGGCAGUGUGGCAUCUGAAACCAUAUCAAUGAACUUUUUGCAUCUUGUUAAUGUUAAAGUCUUGGUCUGUCUUGCGCUUGAAUGGAUCCUUUACUCCAUUUUGUAUCAUUAUGUUUGGUUGUUUGGAUACUAUUGGUUCACUGAGUUAUGCAAUCCAAAUAUUGACAUACUUUAUUAUACAACAUAUAAAAAUUACAUUUGAAUAUAUUACACCUGAUCUUAUCAGAAGAACCUUUAACUAUUGGAAAGCUGUCAAGCUCAUGGUGGCAGAUAGAAGUUCUCUAAAAUUCUGAGUGUUUCUUAAAAAUUCUAAUUUUAUCAGCGACAACAAAUACUGUUGGUUGGACUUGAUAGGCUUGCUUUGUUCAUUUUU